rnacentral:lncRNA from 1 species
UAGGGUGGUGCUAUGAAGAGGUGGUAGAACCUUUAGAGCUGGAGCCUAGUGGAAACAACUUAGGCUAUGAGCAUUACCCUUAGAAGGGAUUGAUAAAAAGAUCUGUUGCCUGGGGAGGGUGGGGCGUGCAUGCCUGUAACCCUAGCAGCUUGGGAGGCUGAGGCAGGAGGAUCAUGAGUUCAAAGCCAGCCUCAGCAACUGAGUUAGGCUCUAAGCAGCUCGGCAAGACCUUAUCUCUAGGUCAAAUAUAACAACGGGCUGGGAAUGUGACUCCGUGGUUAAGCAUCCCUGGGUUCGAUCCCAGGUAACAACAACAACAAAAAGUCUAUUGACUCCUUAAAUGUUUGAUGUCUUGUCUCACCAUAUACUCUCUCCUCAUAGGCAUUUGCUCCUCCUAAUAUCCCAUUCACCAUGCUGUGAUGUAGCCAGAAGGCCCUCACCAGAGCCUAAGAAGAUAUAGGUAUCAUACUGUUGGAUCCCCAGAACUGCAAGAUCACUCUUCUUUAUAAGUUACCCAGGCUGGCUGUGGUGGUGCACAUCUGUAAUCUCAGCAUUUUGGGAGGCUGAGACAGAAGGAUUGUGAGUUCAAAGCCAGGCUCAGCAAUUCAGCAAAACCCUAAGCAAGUCAGUGAGACCCUGUCUCUAAAUAAAAUAUACAAAAGGGCUGGGGAUACAGCUCAGUGGUUAAACACCCCCUGGAUGCAAUCCCUGGUACUGACAAAACAAACAAACAAAAAACCCAGUUACCCAGUCUCAGUUAUUUUAUUGUGGCAACAGAACAUGGACUAAGACAUAAACCAAAUGUACACUGAAAAGACUUGAAUUAGUUAGAAAAUAAAUAAAGAACUGGAAAGUCUUUGUGAGUCUGAUCUUUUCCAUCCCAUGAUAGAAUUCAUUCAGUCUAAAGAAUGUAUUAUAUUUUCUCUCUCAGCUAUCCCCUCUCAUAACUCUACACCUGAAG